CAGUAGCCGCUGGAAAACGUAGGGUGCAAGCGUUAAUCGGAAUUACUGGGCGUAAAGCGUGCGCAGGCGGUUAUAUAAGACAGAUGUGAAAUCCCCGGGCUCAACCUGGGAACUGCAUUUGUGACUGUAUAGCUAGAGUACGGCAGAGGGGGAUGGAAUUCCGCGUGUAGCAGUGAAAUGCGUAGAUAUGCGGAGGAACACCGAUGGCGAAGGCAAUCCCCUGGGCCUGUACUGACGCUCAUGCACGAAAGCGUGGGGAGCAAACAGGAUUAGAUACCCCCGUAGUCCCUGUCUCUUAUAC
rnacentral:rRNA from 1 species